rnacentral:lncRNA from 1 species
CAAGAAAGCGCCGGCUGCCAGGGUCCUCCCCUCGCCCCGACGGGGUCCCGGCCCAGCCCAUACCUGUGUGAGCCCACAGCAGCCCGUUUGGGCUUUGAGACGUUUUGGGUCACUCCUAAAUUUGGAGGCAGAUAGUUGUUUAUAAGCAAAGCAGUGGGUAAGAAUUCUGUGAUUUUACUAUGUCUACAAUCUUCUCUGAAAAUAAAUAGAGUUCGUCUGAGGGUGUUAGAGAGGGCAGGGGUUUCAGAGACAUAGGUCUGAGUGCUAGUCUUGUGCCGAUAACUAACUGACCCUAUGUACAUCCAUUUAUCCAACAUUUACUGAGUGCCUGCUCUGUUCCGACACUGUGCGAGUUACUACAGGGGACAGAAAAAUGAAUAAGAUGCAGCCAUGCCCUUGAGUAGUUCCUUGUCCAGUGGGACACGGGUAGGGAGACAUGAUUAUAGCUGUGUGGGGUCAAGGCUGUAAGGGGACACAUGGUGGAGCAGUCAAGGAAGGCUUCUUGGAGGAGGUGCUGCUUGACUGGGACUCAAGACAAGUCUUGUUAGCCAGCAGUGAGGGCGAGAGGGCCUUGAAGAGAGAAGAGCAGGUACCAGGGUCAGAGACAAGGUACAUGGGGGCACGGCCACUCUGGGAACCACAGCAGGUCCACAUGGCCAGAGCAUGGCACACCAGGGCAGGGAAGUGGGAUGUAAGAUGGUAGGUAAGCAGGAUUGAGUGAAAGGCCUGGAGGAGUUUGGAGGAGCUUGUCUUCCUUGCUUUUGGUAUUGCUCUGUCUGGCUGUGAAGAAUGGACUGGAGAAUUGUGAGACAGUAAGCAGGAAGUCGAGGCUGCUGGAGGCUGUGGCAGCCAGGAAAGAAGAGGGAGAGACGACUAGUGGGUAAUGGAGAGAGAUGGGAAGCCGGACUGGUGUGAGAGAUAGUGAGGAGACCAGAUCUGGUGCAAACUGGGUGAGUGCAGUCAAGGGUGCCCCCAGCGCCCUGCUUCGGUAGCUAAUGGAUGCCAUUCACCACACUGAGAUCAAGGCAGGAGACACAAGUUGGGGUGGGGGUGGACAGUGUGUGCAACCUUGAGGUCGUUGGCUUAAGGAGCGUCAAGCAGAGACGUCUGGUAGGCGUGUGACUCUAGUGCUCAGGAGAGCGAGCAGGGCUGCAGGGGUACAUUUUAGGAGCCACCAGUUUGUCCAGAGCCCUCAAAGGCACUGCACUUUCGUUGGGAGAAGAGACUGGCCCUGAGCUAGCAUCCGUGCCCAUCUUCCUCUGCUUUCUAUGUGGGACGCCUACCACAGCAUGGCAUGACAAGCGGUGCCAUGUCUGCACCAGGGAUCCAAACCAGCGAACCCCGGGCCACUGAAGCAGAAUGGGGGAACUUAACCACUGCACCACCAGGCAGGCCCCUGUAUAUCUUUUUAUACUUCUGAUUUUUAAACCACGUGCAGUAUUAACUAUUCCAAAUGUAAAUAAAAGCCUUCAU